rnacentral:rRNA from 1 species
CCUACGGGUGGCAGCAGUGGGGAAUUUUGGACAAUGGGCGCAAGCCUGAUCCAGCUAUUCCGCGUGUGGGAUGAAGGCCCUCGGGUUGUAAACCACUUUUGUAGAGAACGAAAAGACACCUUCGAAUAAAGGGUGUUGCUGCCGGUACUCUAAGAAUAAGCACCGGCUAACUACGUGCCAGCAGCCGCGGUAAUACGUAGGGUUCGAGCGUUAAUCGGAAUUACGGGGCGUAAAGCGCACGCAGGCGGUUUGUUAAGUCAGAUGUGAAAUCCCCGGGCUCAACCUGGGAACUGCAUCUGAUACGGGCAAGCUAGAGUGUCGUAGAGGGGGGUAGAAGUCCAGGUGUAGCGGUGAAAUGCGUAGAGAUCUGGAGGAAUACCGGUGGCGAAGGCAGCAUACCGGCGCCCAACUGACGCUCAGGCACGAAAGCGUGGGUAUCGAACAGGAUUAGAUACCCCAGUAGUC